AUUGAACGCUGGCGGCAGGCCUAACACAUGCAAGUCGAACGCGUGGCGGACGGGUGUGAGAUAUCUGGGAGACUGCCCGAUGGAGGGGGGUAAAACCUGGAAACGGUAGCUAUUAUAGCAUACCCUAUGGUGUGCCCCGAUGGGGUAAGCUUGUGGGUGGGGUAACGGCGCACCUAGGCGACGAUCCCUAGCUGGUCUGAGAGGAUGACCAGCCACACUGGAACUGAGACACGGUCCAGACUCCUACGGGAGGCAGCAGUGGGGAAUAUUGCACAAUGGGCGCAAGCCUGAUGCAGCCAUGCCGCGUGUAUGAAGAAGGCCUUCGGGUUGUAAAGUACUUUCAGCGGGGAGGCGGUACCCGCAGAAGAAGCACCGGCUAACUCCGUGCCAGCAGCCGCGGUAAUAC
rnacentral:rRNA from 1 species